rnacentral:rRNA from 1 species
GGUUGAUCCUGCCAGUAGUCAUAUGCUUGUCUCAAAGAUUAAGCCAUGCAUGUCUAAGUAUAAGCUGACUUAUACUGUGAAACUGCGAAUGGCUCAUUAAAUCAGUUAUAGUUUAUUUGAUGGUUCUUUACUACUUGGAUACCCGUAGUAAUUCUAGAGCUAAUACAUGCGCACAUCCCGACUUCUGGAAGGGACGUAUUUAUUAGAUAAAAGGCCAGCCGAGCUUGCUCGACUUUCGGUGAAUCAUGAUAACUCCACGAAUCGCAUGGCCUUGCGCCGGCGAUGUUUCAUU